rnacentral:rRNA from 1 species
UACGUAGGGUGCGAGCGUUGUCCGGAAUUAUUGGGCGUAAAGGGCUCGUAGGCGGUUUGUCGCGUCGGGAGUGAAAACUCAGGGCUUAACCCUGAGCCUGCUUCCGAUACGGGCAGACUAGAGGUAUGCAGGGGAGAACGGAAUUCCUGGUGUAGCGGUGAAAUGCGCAGAUAUCAGGAAGAACACCCGUGGCGAAAGCGGCUCUCUGGAACGGUACUGACGCUGAGACGCGAAAGCGUGGGGAGCGAACAGG